UUUGCAGAGGGCGCUUUGGCAUUGGCAGCGGUCCAAGUUCCUUGGAACAGGACGUCACAGAGGGUGAGAAUCCCGUACGUGGUCGCUAGCCUUUACCGUGUAAAGCCCCUUCGACGAGUCGAGUUGUUUGGGAAUGCAGCUCUAAAUGGGAGGUAAAUUUCUUCUAAAGCUAAAUACUGGCCAGAGACCGAUAGCGCACAAGUAGAGUGAUCGAAAGAUGAAAAGCACUUUGGAAAGAGAGUUAAAAAGCACGUGAAAUUGUUGAAGGGGAAGCGCUUGCAACCUCACUUGCCUGUAGUUGCUCAUCCGGGUUUCUACCCGGUGCACUCUUCUAUAGGCAGGCCAGCAUCAUUUUGGGCGGUUGGAUAAAGGACUCUGUCAUGUACCUCCUUUCGGGGAGAACUUAUAGGGGAGACGACUUGCAACCAGCCCGGACUGAGGUCCGCGCAUCUGCUAGGAUGCUGGCGUAUUGGCUGUAAGCGGCCCGUCUUGAAACACGGACCAAGGAGUCUAACAUCUAUGCGAGUGUUUGGGUGUCAAGCCCGAACGCGUAAUGAAAGUGAACGGAGGUGGGAACCUUUCGGGGUGCACCAUCGACCGAUCCUGAUGUCUUCGGAUGU
rnacentral:rRNA from 1 species